rnacentral:lncRNA from 1 species
UAAAUUGCAUCAAAAAAAAGAAAAUAUAUAUAUAACCAACAUAAAAAUGGGUGCAAAAGGAACAAAGCUUACUCCAGAAGAAAUAAAAGAACUUCAAAAAGCGACAUACUUUGAUAAAAAAGAGCUUCAAAAAUGGUAUAGAGAUUUCAUGAAAGACUGUCCUUCUGGUAAACUUCAUCAAGAGG